CUACGGGAUGCAGCAGCUGGGAAUUUUGCGCAAUGGGGGAAACCCUGACGCAGCGACGCCGCGUGGGUGAGGAAGGCCUUCGGGUCGUAAAGCCCUUUCAGCAGGGAAGAAACAAAUGACGGUACCUGCAGAAGAAGCACCUGCUAACUCCGUGCCAGCAGCAGCGGUAAUACGGAGGGUGCAAGCGUUAUUCGGAUUUACUGGGCGUAAAGCGCGCGUAGGCGGUUUGGUCAGUCUGAUGUGAAAGCCCCCGGCUCAAUCGGGGAAGUGCAUUGGAUACUGCCAGACUGGAGUACAGGAGAGGAGAACGGAAUUCCUGGUGUAAAGGUGAAAUUUGUAGAUAUCAGGAGGAACAACAGAGGCGAAGGCGGUUCUCUGGACUGUUACUGACGCUGAGGUGCGAAAGCGUGGGGAGCAAACAGGAUUAGAUACCCCCGUAGUC
rnacentral:rRNA from 1 species